AAUCCAUGGUGAGGGCAUUCUCUGCGGUAGUCAUUAUAACGCUCCCAUUCGUCGCAAAAAGGCUCUUCAGUGAGCUGCCUGAAAGAGAUGAACUUGUUCCUCAAUGC
rnacentral:snoRNA from 1 species